rnacentral:rRNA from 1 species
AGUGAACGCUGGCGGUAGGCCUAACACAUGCAAGUCGAACGGCAGCACAGUAAGAGCUUGCUCUUACGGGUGGCGAGUGGCGGACGGGUGAGGAAUACAUCGGAAUCUACUUUUUCGUGGGGGAUAACGUAGGGAAACUUACGCUAAUACCGCAUACGACCUACGGGCGAAAGCAGGGGAUCUUCGGACCUUGCGCGAUUGAAUGAGCCGAUGUCGGAUUAGCUAGUUGGCGGGGUAAAGGCCCACCAAGGCGACGAUCCGUAGCUGGUCUGAGAGGAUGAUCAGCCACACUGGAACUGAGACACGGUCCAGACUCCUACGGGAGGCAGCAGUGGGGAAUAUUGGACAAUGGGCGCAAGCCUGAUCCAGCCAUACCGCGUGGGUGAAGAAGGCCUUCGGGUUGUAAAGCCCUUUUGUCGGGAAAGAAAAGCAGCAGGUUAAUACCCCGCUGUUCUGACGGUACCCAAAGAAUAAGCACCGGCUAACUUCGUG